ACUGAGGCUCUGGAAGGGUGCUCCGGGCUGCCGUGUUUUGGGCAGCCAUGGAGACUGCUGGAAUUGAGUUUUUUUUUUUUUUUAAAGGAUUUUAUUUAUCCACUCAUGAGAGACACAGAGACAGAGGCAGAGACACAGGCAAAGGGAGAAGCAGGCUCUCCACGGGACUUCCAGGAUCCUUGGGAUCACAACCCGAGCCAAAGGCAGACGCUCAACCACUGAGCCACCCAGGCGCCCCUGGAAUUAUUAUGUCUCCAUUCUGUGUACUUGUGAAGCUCCUGAAGACUGGCACUGCAUUUCCUAUGUCCUUUGCUGGCAGCAGCUGUCUUCUACCACAUGGAGGUCAUUUCCCACUGCCCUGCAGAGAACAAUUGCUCUGUACCUGUUUAUAUCUGACACUUGUCUGAGACUGGCACUGCAAAGCUUCAAACUUGUGCAGCCAGUUUAAAAAGGUUCCACAAAAGAAAUGAACCAUGCAAAGUGUUACAUAGCAGGUUUGCCAGGUCACUUUCUUGACUUAUCUGCUGAGAAUUGCAUUGUGAUGAUAACCUCUACUAGUUCCCAAGUGAUUGUCUUCAGUAGUCCUAGCAAAGGGCUAACGGUGCUGAUCUCUGGGGCCGGAUGCCUUCAUACUCGCCAUACAUUGCUCCAUCUAGGUACACCUGGAAUGGCUGUUGAAACUCCAGUUAUUGUAUCUGUGAAAAGGCUUUGUCUCAGUCUAACCCUCUAGUACCUAUGAGAGAGAGAGAGAAAGAGAGAAAUCCUCCCCCUCUACAGACCUGGCUAAUUACAUCUCUGCACCAUGAAAAUCGAUGAUAUUUUAAGAAGUAAAACUGCACUCAGAGGCAGAGCAAGUGUACGGUUAGCUUUUGUAGAAGUUGCCACAGCAACAUGAGUUGGAGUGCUUCCCCCACUUCCUAGCCUCCCCUAAAAUCUGCUUUAACAAAUUGUCCUAGAAAAAUACUGAGCUGGGAAAUGGUAUCUUUUGCUCACUAGGAAUGUCAUUAUCUUUGAUCAGUGUGAGUAGAGCCCCAAAAUGAGAUGCAAAGAGCAUCACUUUUAAGAAAUAAUAUUACAGAAUGAAUAAAAAUGAUCAAAGUGGAGUUCUCA
rnacentral:lncRNA from 1 species